rnacentral:tRNA from 1 species
GGGGUUGUGGCUCAGCGGUAGAGUGCUCGCCUAGCAUGUGUGAUGUCCUGGGUUUGAUCCUCAGCACCA